AAGCGUGAAGCCCCCCUCAAGAUGAGAUAUCCCAUUCGAAAGAAGUAAGACCCCUUGAAGACGACGAGGUAGAUAGGGCAGGGGUGGAAGUGCCGUAAGGCAUGGAGCUGACUGUUACUAAUCGGUCGAGGGCUUGACCUA
rnacentral:rRNA from 1 species